CUUGAUUCUUCUCCCCAGUCCUCCAUACUGUGUUUUGGUUGGAAGACCCGAGAGCAUAGAUAGAUAGAAUCAAUCUUCUUUUUCAAGGUACCUGAAGACCACAGAACUGGUUGUCAGUGUGCUAUAACCAGUAGACUUCGGAUGAUUGGUUUGAAUUAAAUCAGUGCAGGAAAGAGCAUCGUAGUGGGCUCAGGGUCUAAGAGCACCAGCUGCUCUUCCAGGAGACUCGUUGUUAGAUUCCCAACACCUACAAGGUGACUCACAACCAUCUCCAGUUCCAGGCAAUCUUGUGCGCCCUCUUCUGGCCCCCACUGCCACUGCACAUGUGUGGUACACAAACAUACUGCAUGCAAAAUACUCAUAGAAACCAAUAUAAUGAGCGCACAUUCAACUUGACACCCACCACAAAAACUAAAAUACUUCCAAUGAACUUUUCAUCACUUUGUUAUUGGUCCCAACCUUCUACUGUUGCCUUCUCCUCAGUAGUAGCUCCCAUCUUGAAUGUUCAUUUACACAGCUACUACAUUGCUUUAAUUUCUUUUCACAUGUUAUUACUAAGCAACACAUUUUUAUUAGUUGUGUGUAUAUUUUCCAAACUUGUUAAGCAUCUCCUUUCAUAAGUAAGUUGCAUAUUGUACAUUUUCACUGCUAGAGAACAAUUUAUUGUGUACCACAAUCCAUGUAUUCCUUCUCUAACUAUUUAAACACAAUUUUCAGUCUUCUAUUUCCAAGUGUGGCUGUGAUCACUAUCUUCUGGUACCAUUGUAUAAAAUUUCUUGGAUAUUUUUAUAUAGAUGAAAGACAGAUGGGUCUUUGUUCUGGUGAUGAUCCAUUUUGUAGCAUAGUAUCUAAUUUUUAUAGAAAGUAUCUAUACCAUGCAUGUAGUGGUUUCUUCCUCUUGUUAAGACUCAGGGACUAAGCCCAGUAUGUUGAGGUGCACCUUUAACACCAGCACUUGAGGCAGAAGCAGGCAGAUCUCUGAAUUCAAGGCCAAUCUGGUCUACAAAGUGAGUUCCAGGAUAGCCAGGGUUACACAUAGAAACCUGGCUCAAAAAUCCAAAAGAAAAAAAAAAGCUCCCUCCCUAAUCAGGGAAUUAACAACAUGUGUAAGGUUCAGGAAGCUCCUGAAACUUACAAGAUUCAUAACCCCCUCCAUGUUACAUAAGCGGUAGCAGAUUCCUGGGGAGAGGAGACACAACUGGCUGCUCUGCCUUCCUUAUGUGUAGAGCUUCAAGGAUGCAGCUUUUGUGACUUGUCACCUAUGCUGGGUGAGCUUUUAAGUGAUGUGUGCUCCUAUAAAUAACCACAGUAAACUCAUUUGUUUAUCAAGUUGGACUUUGGUAAUCAGAGUCAUUCAUCCCCUAUCUCAAGUGAGUAGAUGUUUGAGUCUCCACAGGAAAAGUCACAGAGCACAUACCAACUAGCAUUUAUGUCUUCUGUAAUAUCUCAGAUCUUCUGGUUUUUUUGUUGUUGUUGUUUUUUAUUUUUAGUGAAAUAGUAAGGUGGUUGGCAGAGAACAUUUCCUGUCUCCAGACAGGCUCUUGUCACACCCUCCUCCAAGAAUGGAGUGGGUAGAUAGUGGGGAGUGUACAAAUAUUGCUGAUUCAGGGUCAACUACCUCAAGUGGAGUAAAACAACUUUAAACAAAUUGCUGUGUGGGACUUGGAUUCUAGGACCCCUGGGGUGCUAGGCAUUGUAGUCCUGAGAAGCUUUCAGUGAGCUUUGGGGUCCCAACCAACAGCGGUGCCUUGCUGAACAAGUCUUCAGGUCGCCAAGAGGAGUAACUGCAUGUCUCCAGUCUCUUGCAGGUCUUAUGGGCUGGAAGCAGUGGCAGAGGCAAACUCCCUUUUGCAGCUGAACUGUGGUGUCUUGGAGUUGGAGGCAGAAAUGGCAAUUCUGUGAUUCUGUCUGUGUGUAAGAAUGGACGUGCAACGUGCCAGUUGGGCCCUGAUUGACUGAUUGUGGAUAUGCAAAUAAGAUGAAAAAAAAGACCAAUCAGGAAAGAACUGUCAACCAUGGUGUGGAAAGGGGAAGAAUCCUAAGCCUGCUGAAAGUUGCCAAAAGUUAACAGGAAGGAUAGGUGUCUGCUGUCCUCUGCUGUGAAAUGGAUUUCAGGGCUGAGCAAGGAGAAAGAUAUGACCUGGAGACAGCUGUAGCAAGUUUUACUUGGGCCAGUUUUGCAUGUAAGAGAGACCCCUUCCUCUCAACAUAAGAUCCAGAGAUUCUAGGAGA